ACCUAAGACUAGAACUAAAGAUUUAUUUUGAUCUAUUCUGAUUUCAGAAGCUAAGCAGGGUCGGGCCUGUUAACACUUUGAUGAGAGAUUGCCUGCGAAUACCUGGUGCUUUAGGAU
ensembl:rRNA 5S_rRNA 5S ribosomal RNA